AAUAAAGCCAUGAUGACCUGGGAGAGGAGCAGUUGUGUAGUUAGCUCUCCCCAAGACUGUUAAGCUUCUAGAACAGCCAAGCAGGUAAGAACAAGCUAAAUUUAGCACUGAAAAGACUUCCUUUCUAUUUUGAGGAAUAUUUAUGACAAUAAAAAUUACUAUCUUCCAUGCAUGCAAUUUUUUUUUUAUUAUUGAUUUAGAAACAGAUACAUUUUCUGCUAGCCAGAUAUUACAGCAACAAAACAAAAACCUCACACACUCUGUAAACAAAAUAUAUUGAUCAUAAAAGCCAAACUCCAUGAUAGGUAUAAAAAUAAAAUCUUAUGUCUUAAUCAUAACACUACCUGAGUAUCAUAUAUAGCAAACGUAUAUAUAUAUAUAUUCAUGGUCUACAGCAGAAUAUUGCUGUAGUUAGCUGUAAGUGAAUGAUGGAGAUGGUCUAUUAUCUAUAUAUUGUGCCUUGCCACUCUCCAGCUUACCUACUUUGUUUAUGGAUGGAGGGGAAAAAAGAAAGCCAUGAUUAAUGACAUUUUCUAAAUAUUCUGUUUUAGAUAUAUUUAGCUUCUCCACAGGAAGAAAUAAAAGAAUAAGAUUAAGGGGAGAACCUCUUUGAAGUGCUGUUACAGAUACAUAAUUCACAAAGUAUUUCCCUCUCCCAUGAUUGUUAUUUCAGACAACGUAACACAACCUGGGAAUUCACACAGUCUUACAAGAUCAAGUUAAGCAAAAAAGAGACAGAGAUAGGAAAUUUCUACAUUAAGCAACUCAAAAGCUAUGUCUUUUCACAGAUUUUAAUAGAAUAUAGACCCAAAAAACAAAGGGAAGAGGAUUUCCUUGCUGCUUCUCUUUAUGUCAUGCUUGAAAGACUACAGAGCCUGCAGUUACAAGGGCACAGGCUUAGCAAUGCAAAGAAAGGGCUUCACUCAAAUUGUUCAUGCACUGCUUCAAGGUAACAGUAUGGCCUUAAACCUUGCUGAAUAACGCUUGUCCUCAUUUGGCCAGUUAAGUUUGUCUGAAGUUGGUCACGAGGUGGCUUGGGGAAUACUGCUGAACUGAGGAGAUAGUAAAAAUUCCAGUGUGACAAUGAUCCCCAUGGACCUGCAGGCAUGUUUAGGAGACCCACUGCUGAAGGGUAUUUCUUGCUACACUGCUAAUGACCCUUAUUUGCAGUUGUUAUCACUGGUGCCAAGCCUUGGAAAAUGGUUCCCCACGGCAAACACAAAACAACAUUUCUCUUGCAAAGAGCAGAUGGAUGAGUAGUACCCUGGGGCUCUAGGCAAAACCUAAGGCAUCACACUCAGGAUUUUCAGUUAUCUUUCUUUUCCCUGUUUCCACAAUUUCAGGAGAGGUUAUAGAAGAAGCCAGGCAAACACUGUCAUAACCUAAGCAGCAUUUCUGAAGUCAUAUGAUUACACUGUUUGACUUGUUACACUAUAAGCUGGUAUUUUUGUUAAUCAAGGCAAAUCUCUUGUUUCAUUUCACUGGUGGUAAAUGCCUUAGGUUCCUGACAUCCCAAUUCAGAAUAAAUACUUGAGAGUGUCGCCGAUAAAUCA
ensembl:lncRNA